rnacentral:rRNA from 1 species
AUUGAACGCUGGCGGCAGGCCUAACACAUGCAAGUCGAACGAGUGGCGGACGGGUGAGUAAUGUCUGGGAAACUGCCUGAUGGAGGGGGAUAACUACGGGAAACGGUAGCUAAUACCGCAAACCAUCGGAUGUGCCCAGAUGGGAUUAGCUAGCAGGUGGGGUAACGGCUCACCUAGGCGACGAUCCCUAGCUGGUCUGAGAGGAGGACCAGCCACACUGGAACGGAGAAACGGUCCAGACUCCUACGGGAGGAAGCAGUGGGGAAUAUUGCACAAUGGGCGCAAGCCUGAUGCAGCCAUGCCGCGUGUAUGAAGAAGGCCUUCGGGUUGUAAAGUACUGUCAUCGGGGAGGCGUUACCCGAAGAAGAAGCACCGGCUAACUCCGUGCCAGCAGCCGCGGUAAUUC